UCUCUCUAGCUGUGGAGAGAGAUGGGCCUGGCUGCCUGGAGCUGAGCAGGGUACCUAGAGUGGCCUUUCCCCCAGGGCUGGGGAAAGGCCAAAGGAGCUGGGGAGCUCCAGGCUGGAAAAACCCCAGGCUGCAGGCCUUAUUAAAGGCCGGGAAAGGGCUCUAACACAGUGCAGACAGCUUGGCCGUCCGUAGCGAUGGAGGAUCUGAGAGUGCCCGAGCUAAUACAGACCCCUCCUGUUUUCCCAUGGGAUGGAAUGCAGCCAAUAUACCUUGUGUUUGAAUGUACGAUGAAUUGUGCAUCCAGUGCUGCCACUCCUCUUGCCUGUCAAUUUGAGGCAGCACAGACCCUGCACGGAGCUUGGGGGUUUGAGGCAAAGCUUGGUAGAAGGCCCAGUGAAAUGAAGGUUUGUGUGUUCAGGAAUGAUCUUCAUCAACGGAGAGUCUUUAUUGUGUUUGAUAUAAUGUCAGCUUUCAUUACGCUCUGAGGGCGCACUGAGAACUUCUGUGUUACAGCACCAACCUUGCUGUCGAACCAUUCUGACUGAAAGUAGAACAAGAAAAUCAUUCACAAAAAAAAGUCUUCGUCCUUUGCUCUUCAAAGCAAAUGGAGGCCCCCUCCUUUCUAAAAAAGAAAAGACUUGGCAAUGUCAUGAGCAUGGCAUAGCAGGAUCUGAGUGACCAGGAGCUUUCUCUCUGGGUGGUUGGUGUGGCAGGAUCCCUUUGGCUUCCCUGUGGGUGGUUGGCGUGGCAAGAGUCUAUAGGCUUUCCCCUCAGGUUUGCAUGGCAGAAGCUCACUGUCUCCCCAGGGGCAGCUGGCAAGGCAAGAUGGGUUGCUGAAAUCAGAAUUAAAGUGAAAUCACCCAAGUUUCAUGUGAGCCAGUCUUGACUUGAUAGAAGUGGAGCAAGAUGCCAUGAUAAGAAAAAUAGUAGGCUAGGCAAGAUCAGAUAAAACCUCUUCUUUCAGAGAUGGAAAAAACCCUGCUGACGGGUCACUCAAAUGUUUCCCCAGUGCAGUCAGGGAGGCAAAGGGAGGAAAUUGCGUGUUUUGUUUUUUUUUUAAAUGCCAAGGCGGAUCAUGACAACUGUUCCUGCCUGUCACUGGUAAUGUAUCUAGCCCCAUGCUGCUGGAGGCAGUACAAAGGAACUCGUAGGCAGAAAGCUACAGGAAGGGCAGGCAUGUUUGCAGCCACACCAGUUAUGCAUUAAUCCAAUAUCUACUCCCACAGCAUUGGGGUGGGUCAGGUGGCAGUUCAGACUAACUGUCAAUGAGAUCAGCUUCAUGGAGGACUUGGGAUGGAUUCAUCACCGCACUACGUGGGAAAUAGAUAUCUGUAGAUAGCCCAGUGACAGAUAAAGAGAUCAGCCUUUGCCAGUGCUUCCCACAGGUUUUCAUGGUGCCUGAAAUCAGAACUUCCUGUCCUUGCGCAGAUACUACUGCAUGAAAGCAGUUGGCUUUUAAUGGGAAAAAAUGUAGAGUUCCAAGAAAAAUAUUCAUCUGUUCCAUAAAUGGAGCCCAGCAUGCCACCCUGGAUUGCCGAGAGCCUCAGAGAGCAGUAUGAUGUUAAUAUCAGGGUCAGACAGCAUUCGCUUCUUGGGCCUUUGCUGGCUUGCAAUCUACCUCAUUUGGGAAGCCGGGGGAAACACCACUUUAGCCAGGACGCAGGUGUCGCAGGAUUAGAUGGAGCUGGAACAGCUACAACAAGAGAACAUUGAAAAUCCCAUGUGCCACAGGUUUGGCAAUAAGCAAUGGGAAAAUGGCCACUGGUGCUCCAAGAUCCCCUUAAAACCUGAAACUAGCCAAUGGGGGCAGAGCCUGGAGCCCAUCCUUGGACGAAGCACUCACUGAUGUCAGUGGGAGUUUGGGUGGGUAAGGACCUCAGGAGUUGGUCGAUGGAAGAAGAUGGGCCAGGUGAGUAGGUAACUUCGGG